rnacentral:rRNA from 1 species
UACAUGGGGUGCAACCGUUGCUCGGAAUUAUUGGGCGUAAAGCGCACGUAGGUGGUCGCUUAAGUCGGAUGUGAAAGCCCUCGGCUCAACUGAGGAAGUGCAUCCGAAACUGAGUGGCUAGAGUAUGGAAGAGGGUCGCGGAAUUCCCGGUGUAGAGGUGAAAUUCGUAGAUAUCGGGAGGAACACCGGUGGCGAAGGCGGCGACCUGGGCCAAUACUGACACUGAGGUGCGAAAGCGUGGGGAGCAAACAGG